UGUCCAACACAUUUGGCUUGUGAUGUUGCUGCCGAACAAUGUUAUGAUCCAUGCAUUGUAAGCAAUCCUUGUGGUCGGAACACCAAAUGCAGUGUCAUUGAUCAUAGUCCUCAGUGUGAAUGUAUACCUGGAUUCAGAGGAAAUCCUCUAGAAUACUGUUAUCCAAUCGGUCCUGGAUGUCAGAAUGAUUUAAGUUGCCCUGGAAACUUAUUCUGUUUGAAUGAUGGAACAUGUGGUUGUCCAGGCGAUUUCAAACGUUUAUCAGAUUUCUGCAUUA